GUCAACGAUCCUGCCACGUUGAAAGCACCGGUUCUCGUCUCAGAUCACCGAAGUUAAGCAACGUUGGGCGCGGUUAGUACCAGGAUGGGUGACCGCUUGGGAACACCCGCGUAUUGUUGGCA